rnacentral:rRNA from 1 species
AGCCCCGUACACAAAAGCGUAUGUGCUGUGAGCUCGAUGAGUAGGGCGGGACACGUGGUAUCCUGUCUGAAUAUGGGGGGACCAUCCUCCAAGGCUAAAUACUCCUGACUGACCGAUAGUGAACCAGUACCGUGAGGGAAAGGCGAAAAGAACCCCGGCGAGGGGAGUGAAAAAGAACCUGAAACCGUGUACGUACAAGCAGUGGGAGCCCCACCACUAAGCCAGUGGUGAACUCCACAUACGCAUCCUUUGCUGAGGAUACGGUUAACGGAGCGAAAGCGACGUUCAACCGCAAAAGAAGCAGAGGGGGCUUAGUGGUGGGGUGACUGCGUACCUUUUGUAUAAUGGGUCAGCGACUUAUAUUCUGUAGCAAGGUUAACCGAAUAGGGGAGCCGGAGGGAAACCGAGUCUUAACCGGGCGUUAAGUUGCAGGGU